ensembl:snRNA U6 U6 spliceosomal RNA
CCAACAAAUAAAAGUUGGAGCAACACAGAAAAGCAGAAAAGAUUAGCAUGGUCAUUGCACAAGGAUGAUGCACAAAUUCAUGAAGUGUUCCAUAUUUUU